rnacentral:rRNA from 1 species
UACGUGAGGGGCAAGCGUUGUCCGGAUUUAUUGGGCGUAAAGAGCGUGUAGGCGGCUAGGUAGGUCCGUUGUGAAAACUCGAGGCUCAACCUCGAGACGUCGAUGGAAACCAUCUAGCUAGAGUCCGGAAGAGGAGAGUGGAAUUCCUGGUGUAGCGGUGAAAUGCGCAGAUAUCAGGAAGAACACCCGUGGCGAAGGCGGCUCUCUGGUACGUGACUGACGCUGAGACGCGAAAGCGUGGGGAGCGAACAGG